GGGGAUUUAGCUCAGCGGUAGCGCCUGCCUUGCAAGCAGGCAGUUGUGAGUUCAAUCCCCG
rnacentral:tRNA from 1 species